GAUGAACGCUGGCGGCGUGCCUAAUACAUGCAAGUCGAGCGAACAGACGAGGCGCUUGCUCCUCUGACGUUAGCGGCGGACGGGUGAGUAACACGUGGAUCACCUACCUAUAAGACUGGGAUAACUUCGGGAAACCGGAGCUAAUACCGGAUAAUAUAUUGAACCGCAUGGUUCAAUAGUGAAAGACGGUUUUGCUGUCACUUAUAGAUGGAUCCGCGCCGCAUUAGCUAGUUGGUAAGGUAACGGCUUACCAAGGCAACGAUGCGUAGCCGACCUGAGAGGGUGGUCGGCCACACUGGAACUGAGACACGGUCCAGACUCCUACGGGAGGCAGCAGUAGGGAAUCUUCCGCAAUGGGCGAAAGCCUGACGGAGCAACGCCGCGUGAGUGAUGAAGGUCUUCGGAUCGUAAAACUCUGUUAUUAGGGAAGAACAAAUGUGUAAGUAACUAUGCACGUCUUGACGGUACCUAAUCAGAAAGCCACGGCUAACUACGUG
rnacentral:rRNA from 1 species